rnacentral:lncRNA from 1 species
UGUUAACAUCAAUAAUAGCUAAUAUCUUUCUGCAGAGAGGUUUGCAUAUGAAUACUAAACACGUAUCCCAUUUUAGUGUUUACUAUGGGCAGUCAUCAUUAUUUAUUGAAAUCAGUGUCUUCCAAGUCAUGUCAGCAUGAGCUACACAUCUCCUGCAAUGUAAUCGCCCUACUGUUUUAUGUCAUGGCAUUGGAUGUAGAUGAAGCAGAUGAACUGAGAAUGGUUGAUGAGUUCUGCAGCCACUGGGUUGUAUUUCCCAUGUAGAUGGCCUUACUCUUACGGAAGAUCUUCAUUAUCGUGAACUGCCUUUCCCCAACAUUACCCCAUGCAUAAAUAGAGCUAGCAAAAUAUAUGCUUACUCUGGACUUAUGAUGCCUUUACAGAGCAAAACAGAAAAAAAAAAAAAAAAAAAAAAAACCAAAACCCAGCCAUAAACAUACUUCUCCCUGAACUUUAAUGAGUAGCUGACAGGUUCAACACACUGAAGCUCUGAGUAUCCUUCUCUAAUAUGUGUUAAGAAUUAUGAAACUAAUUAAAAGUAUAUUUCUACUGUGCAUCAAGCCUUCAUUUUCUUGGUGUAUAGUGGUGUCAGCCUUGAGCUUCCUCGUGAUUUGUACAUCUCUGUCCUGAUUACCGGGGUGCAUACUUACUAAAGCCCUGGAGUUAAAAUUUCCCUCUCUUAACUGAACUUCAGACAUUUCUCUUUAGCUAAAUUUCGGUUAAGUUUUCUCUUCAAUGUGCUCCACCUUUUCUACCUCUGAAAACUCUCUGAGUAGUUUUUGUUGACAUGUUUGUCUCUUUGACACCCAAACUUAAUCUGUUUGUCUGACCUGAUCAUGGAGGUUUUAAGGACAUCUCUCAUAUAUCAUAGAAUUUUGUCCCUCCAUGAUUCUUGAAACUUUAUGAUAAAAUAUUCUAGUUGGUACUCGGCCUAUACUUUAGGUUUUGUUUUCACUUAAAUACUUUAUUCUUACAUUUUGUUCAUUAUGUGAAUGGAUAAGUUUUAUUUUCAGUGACUCAUUUUUUAUGAUUGUAUAGCAACCAAAAAGGCAAAAUACCUUUUUCUUAAUAAAAUAUGGUUUUCAGAAAAGAUGCCAGGACCUCUGUGUUUAAGGUAGAAAGAUGUUGAUCUAACAGAACAUCCUACUGUAAAUAUCUUCUUGACCUGAAACAGAAUGCUUUCAGUUAAUUAUGUUCAAUUCUAGCAUAAAGCAAACCAUCAUUUUCUGAAGUAGGACAGGUAGCAGAAGGUUGAAAAAUGGCAAGCAUUCCUCCCUUAGGCUGUAUUUGUUGAAAAGCACUAUCCUGCUAAUAUUAUUGGAUCAAAAUGGAGUGCCGUGUGCUAAUGAGUGAGGAAUGGAAUGAAGGUUUUAUGAAGCCAAGGCAGUGAAGAAACUGUUUUCUUUUCCCAAGACAGCUGUAGAAGGCUCACAAAGGACCCUCGUUGAAGUCUGAGGCAAAAGAUUAUAUCCACUGAGGGAACUAUGCCACUGAGACAGAUUUUUCUUUUAAAAUUUAUUUAUUUAGGGUUUGACCAGGCAAAUCUUAACAGAGACAAAAAUGAUGACUCCAUGCACCUGUUUUGAAAAUAGGAUCAUAGCCCCAUUUUAAAAUAGUGUCUCAGGGGGCCUUAUAGAGUGUGGGAAAAUUGGUGGUACCUUUCCAUUGUGUUUAUGGUUUCAUGAAGAUUCUUAGCCCAUAGGAAGCUGGGGUCAAAUUUGCUCACCUUCCUCACCCAGGGGAAGAGCACAUAGCUGGUAAUGUCAAGACUUAAGCCCUUGCCGCCAGGACUCAGAGUUUCGUUACACUCGAAAAUCCAAACAGAAAUAUGAGAAGCACUGAAGAGGUCUAAUCCCCUUACCCAACAGUCAUUCAAGAGCCAAAAAUAUUUUUUUCCAAAGGAAAUACAUUGUUUAUUUUUUUCCACAAGAUCUCAAAGUAUGUAGCAUAGAUGGCAAUAUCUAAAGAAGAGAGAUUGGGAUAUUUGCCUUCCACAGGUAAAUAUGGGGACAAGAUAUGUCUUUUGAUUUUUUUUUUUCCACACACAACUUAAGCCCCAUUUGUAAGGCCAUGUUCAAAUGACUUGUUUUGAUACUUUUUUGGUGUUAAUUUUUAUAAGAAGGUGAUAUAUUUUGAACUUCAAGUGACUAUAAAUUGAGGUGUUUAAGAUAGACUUUGCUCAUUACAACCUACUAAAACAUUACUGAGCUUAUGUGGAGGGAAUUCAGGUCUAUAACAUGUUCAAAAUCUAAAAUGGUCACUGAAGAAAGUAAAAUAAAAUGAGGCUCCAGGGGUUGUAUCCUUAAGAUAUUGUAACAGAUAAGACAAAGAAAACUCUAGUCUGAUGCUCUCUUAGUCCUGGACAUCCGCAUUGAAGUUUAGUAGGAUAGAGAUCAGAGUCUAUUAACAGCUGUAGAUGCAGACCGUACAUGGAAGGAAGAGAAAGAAAAACUUCUCUUCCUUUUAUGUUGUGAUUUAUGUUCUUUGCCCAUGAUCAAAGCCAACAGAUUUUUCAGCCAUGAGGAUCCCUAGUUCUGUAACAACCAUAUCUGUGUCCCCCAACAUUCUAAGGUUGUUCUGUAACAUCUCAGAGGGUAGCAUAUUCUUGGGAGCGCAUCCUUGCGGCGUGAAGAUCAGCUCAUUUGUGAUGAAAAUGAAUAUGCUUCAGGGGAAAGCACCGGUGAUACUUUGGGUCCAGUCAAGGAGUAUUCUAUUUCCAAGUAACUUGUAUGGAAAAUAAGCCAACUGGCUAAAGUCAGAGGAAAUCAACUCACUUAUUAUAUGAGGAGUACAUCAGGUAGCAGACAAAUUGUGCCCAUUUUCAUGUUCAUAUUUUC